GACGAACGCUGGCGGCGUGCUUAACACAUGCAAGUCGAACGGAAAGGCCUCUUUCGGGGGGUACUCGAGUGGCGAACGGGUGAGUAACACGUGAGUAACCUGCCCUUGACUUUGGGAUAACUUCAGGAAACUGGGGCUAAUACCGGAUAGGAGCUCCUGCUGCAUGGUGGGGGUUGGAAAGUUUCGGCGGUUGGGGAUGGACUCGCGGCUUAUCCGCUUGUUGGUGGGGUAGUGGCUUACCAAGGCUUUGACGGGUAGCCGGCCUGAGAGGGUGACCGGCCACAUUGGGACUGAGAUACGGCCCAGACUCCUACGGGAGGCAGCAGUGGGGAAUAUUGCACAAUGGGUGGAAGCCUGAUGCAGCAACGCCGUGUGCGGGACGACGGCCUUCGGGUUGUAAACCGCUUUCGCUCAUGACGAAGCUUUGUGUGACGGUAGUGGGUAAAGAAGCACCGGCUAACUACGUG
rnacentral:rRNA from 1 species